rnacentral:tRNA from 1 species
GCCUUCGUGGUGUAGUGGUCAGCACGCUCGACGCGUAUUCGAGAGGUCCGUGGUUCGAGUCCCGCUAGGGCA